rnacentral:rRNA from 1 species
GAUGAACGCUGGCGGCGUGCCUAAUACAUGCAAGUCGAGCGGACAGACGCUGAGCUUGCUCCUCUGACGUUAGCGGCGGACGGGUGAGUAACGCGUGGAUAACCUACUUAUAAUUCUGGGAUAAUCUCGGGAAACCGGUUCUAAUACUGGAUAAUAUCUUGAACCGUAUGGUGCAAUAGUGAAUGACGGUUUUGCUGUCUGUAAUAGCUGGUUCCGGGCCGGAUUGGCUGGUUGGUAAGGUCACAGCCUACCAAGGCUACGAUGCUUGGCCGAGCUGAGAGGAUGAUCGGCCACACUGGAACUGAGACACGGUCCAGACUCCUACGGGAGGCAGCAGUAGGGAAUCUUCCGCAAUGGGCGAAAGCCUGACGGAGCAACGCCGCGUGAGUGAAGAAGGCCUUCGGAUCGUAAAGCUCUGUUAUUAGGGAAGAACAGAUGUGGAAGAAACUAUGCCCGUCUUGACGGUACCUAAUCAAAAAGCAACGGCUAACUACGUG